rnacentral:lncRNA from 1 species
UUUUCAGGGUACUCGACAGAAGUUAAGGACGGAAAGCCGAGCAGGACCUUGUGGGUGUUUUCUUAUCGAACAUUAAAGCUUUAUUGUCUAAGCGUCCCCGGUCAUCUCUGCAUGUCCGAGGGUUAGAUGGUAAACUUUCUUGAACGAAAGGAACUCCUGGGAGCGGCUUUUGUAUUCUGAUACAAAUCGUUUAUACGAGAAAGUAUCUUGUGACAAAAAAAAAAAAAAAAAAAGUAUUUUAAACACACAUUCUAAAAAAGUUUUUCCAAAAAUAACGCGAAAAAUUUGGUUAUCAAAGACCAUUUUAAAGUAACUUCCAGAGUAAAAUAUAUUUUACUUUCUAUACAUAAAGAAUUUAUUUAUUUAAAUUAAAUUUUAAAAAGCUUAAUUAAUUAUUAAAUUCACUUUCAAACAUAUCAGUUCAAUAUGUUUUAUAUAAACAAAUAUUUUAAUUUAACACAUAUUUACUCCUGCUUAUAUUUUAAAAAAAAGCUGUUACUAAGAAAAGGAUAGAUCAAUUUUAAGCAUAAAAAGAAAAUGAUUUUGCAUGAUGUAAAAUAUCUGCACGGCAGUAGGUGUAAACCCUUACAAUUUAUACAUCAAAUAAAUGUAUUUACCGAUUUUGAGGCAUAAUUAAAAUUAAAAUAUUUCCUGGAAUUUAUUUAACAUGAAGAAAAAAAAAAAAUGUUUAAUCUCCCCGGGAAGGUGACCACGGAGUCAUAUCAAUAGGAUAGCUGCCGAGAACUCGUAGAAACGACGUGAACUCCUGAACUUCCGCUAGUGCAUUUUGUGCCCUAACAUCCGCCAUUGACGCCUCGAAAUCAACGAAGAACAAGUACUCAAAGUGCUUCGCCGUGCCUGAAUUCUCGCCGUCGACGACUCUGAUUGGUUGGUUCCGGUGAGGCCUGCUCUCAAUUUUCGUCAAGCUGAUGUUGCGGAAUGCGAAUGCUGAUAACACUUUGAACAACACUGACAUUCCUUUAUCGUGUGCGAAGACGAUGCUUGUUUUGAACGGCCGGUCGGUCCGGGGAAUUAUAGGCUCUCUCGCGAGCAUCACGAACCGAGUCACGUUGCUAGAAUCGUCUUGGAUACCGUUCGCGAGGAUCUGGAGACCGUACAGAUCGGCGGCGCGUGCGGACGCGAUGGCUGCCGUGUCACGGAGAUUGUUCGCCGCGAUAAACUCGGCAGCUCCGGCGGUGUCAUCGACGGCCUCACGCGCGACAGUGAGUCCGAGUUUUGUUAAUGUGUUUUCGCACUGAGAGAGAGCUUGUGGAUGAGAAAUGACGCGAGUGAGAUACUCUUUGCGAACGCCGGGGAGAGCUAAGAGACAGUGAUGCACGGGGAGUUGUACUUCGCCGACGAUGUGGAGUUUGUGACGGAGGAGUAGGUCGUAGUUGCGAUGAAUGCUGCCGCCUAACGAGUUCUCCACCGGCAAAACAGCGCGAUCUGCGAUCCAGAGCUCUACGGCUUGAAAUGCGACCUCGAAUUGAUCGCACGGGAUCGCGUCGCAGUUCGGAUAAGCUUUUCCAGCCGCGGCCUCGCUGUACGCGCCUGGAACGCCCUGGUACGCGACUCGGAGCGUCGAGCCGUGCAUCGGAGCCGGAGACAGAUCUGCAAUUGUGAGCGGCUUCGGGAGAUUAUCAAUCGGAACUAUUUCCAGUGUCUUGUGGCCAUUCACUGCAGUGAUGUUGUCGUCUGUCUUCUCCGUGUUCUGUUGUUCCUGAGAGACUACCUUGCUGGCCAGUACCGCGCACGAGGCCUGCCAGUCGGCGCGAGUCGCGCCGACUGAGUUCGCAAAGUUCGCUGAAUUCGAUACCGAAUCAGCUCGGUACACCGAGCUAACUGUCAGUUGACUCGGCCCGACUCGACUCGUUUUAGCCGAAUUCAUCCCCCAGCUUGUAGAAAUAAAAUUAGUACCUGAGAGAGUCUGCAUUUGGAGGUUAUACUAAAAACUUGGAAUUAUAAUAUCUUAAUUCGAAAAUAAAUCCAAAAGAAUGAGGAGAGAAAAGGUUCGUUAGGUGGGAAUGAUGUUUUAUAAAGCUUGUAGUUUAUGAACAACCAAGCUGAGAAAACGGUGAGGGAUGUUCGGUGUUUUAUACUAUGGAGUGAUACGAGAAGUAGAUGGAAAUAUAAGCCUUGGUCAAUGUUUACCUAACCUCCCUUGCUUUCCUAUCUCUUUCUCUUCAAUUUUUCUCAGCUCUCACAUAUUAUUAAAUGUAUUAUUGGUAGAUGUGGUAGGUAUUGUUUGUGUGUGGUAUAUAUGGCGCCAUGAAUGAGUUCAAUUUUGGGUUCUUCUGAUCAAGUGGACUAUUAAAAAUUACUGGUGGUAAACUAGUUCAAAUAACACAUUUACUAAACGAGUUCUGGUGACUUGUGUUUGUCAUUUGUCAAAGUUAUUGAAUGAACCAAAGAUCAUUUUGCAGAACACUUUGUACAACACGCUUUAAAUCUUUGAUUUUGCUAGUAACUAUAUCUUCCUGCUAAUUAAAAUUAACUCGCUGUAAUUUAACAUGAUAUUUUUUAAAGACGGAAGGGUGUUGGUAAAUUUUGCGAACCUGAAUGCAUUUUAGUUUCAAUGAGUUUAUUAAAGAAUUUUUUAUGCGUUUACUUCUUCGCGUUGAUUGAAGCAAUUUUUUAUCAGUCGAAGAUGUAUAUGUUUGAAUAUAUUUGUUGUUCUCAUUCUUAUUUAAAAUUUUAAUCCUGUUAAUGAUCCAAAAUGAAUCUAACAACUUUACUGAAGAAUGGUGGUGUUUAUUGACCAAUCAGUAGAUAUGGGCUUCGGUGCAGAAUUAGAAACGUGUUUUUUUUUUUUUUGAACUUGUGUUGAAUAAUUGCAGAGCCAGGUCCCCCCGCACAUGUCGAUUUUGUUAACUCUGGGCUGGCCAGUGGCCACUGGUCUGACGACUCUGACCUGUGUACUGUGUCCUGAGGGCACAGGUUAAAGUGUAUUAAAGACACUAGUUAGUUACGGACAGUUGUAUUAGAGUUACAUUUUUUUUCAAACUCCACUAAUUUUUUUCUUUCACCGUGUUUCAAAAUUUUGAUGUUUGUUUUUCUAAAUUUUAUUUUUUAACCACCACAUUUAGUUCUAUUUAUUUUUUAAGAAAACAUGUAUAUUUAAAUAUUUAUUUUAAUAUAAUACUCUAUACCCAAUCUUUGCAUUUUUUUAUAACUAAAAAAUAACAAAUAUAUGUAUAAAAAAUAUAAAUUGAUUUCAUCCCACAAAAAAUAAGGAGGCCCCCCUGCAUGUACACUAAUUUUCUAACUAAAAUUAGCCUUCUAAUUAAAAUCAGCCAUUUUGAUAUUUAAUAAUAUUAAAAUAUAUAAAUUAUAAAAUCAUAAAUUUAUUAUUAAAUAUCAAAUUGGCUGAUUUUCAUUAGAAGGCUAAUUUUAGUUAGAAAAUUGGUGUGCAUGCAGGGGGGCCUCCUUAUUAUUUGUUAUUUUUCAGCUGUAAAAAAUGCAAAAAUUGAGUAUAGACUAUUAUAUUAAAAUAAAUAUUUUAUUAUACAUUUUUCUUAAAAAGUAAAUAAGACUAAAUGUGGCGAUUAAAAACAAAAAUUAGAAAAACAGACAUCAAAGUUUUGAAAGACGGUAAAAAUGGAAAAAAAUAGUGGAGUUUGAACAAAUAGAACGUAACUCUAAUAUAACUAUACACUACGGCUUAUCUCUUAUUGGGAAGUAACCGGAAGUUAUCUAGAAGUGGGAAUUUCUUUUAAAAAAAUAUGUUAUAAUAUAAUAAAUAUAAAAUACAUAAACACAUAGAGUAUACAUUUCUUACGGAAAUAAGCGCCCAGUUCAUGGAAAAAAGUUACUUGAUAAUAAGAAACUAAAAUAGUACAACUUUGACCCCGUUUCAGUAUGAAAACCUCUGGCAUUCAUAGAAUGUAUUCCACUUUUAAACACUAUAUUAAAAUAAUCUUUCUAUAACAUUAAGAAAACCUCUCUAGAAAUGAAUGAAAAAAUUAUUUUAUUAACAAAAGGUUAUUAAUGGAAUUAUAGAACACAUCAGAAAAGCAAACGUAAAUUAACUCAUAUAUUCAUAUUUAAAUUUUAUUUAAUCAAACAAUGUAACAAAAUUUUAUCACUAAAUCAUCUUGCGGGCGUGAGAUGCCGAAACAUUCGCCUAAAUAGUCCUACAACCCGAGCCACUUUGUAUUGUGAUGAGACGAGCACCUAAAGAUCAUACAUGUGCACGCACGAGACACACGAUAACAUCAUCCACACGCAUAUAGUGGUGGAAAUAUGGUUGCAAUACCAUUAAGCCAAUCCAAACCAAAUGAAAAUUGUGCAUUUGGAUUCAUAUGAAAUCACAUUUACGAAAAUGGAUUUGGUUUGAUUUCUAGUCUCACAUUUCUCACAAAAUAUGUAUCUAAAUACAUUUGUUUCUCACAUUAAGAUUUUUUAUAACUCUUCACACACACUAUCAUGUUCUUUAUUUCUUUUUGCUAGUUAAAACACAUGCACAUCCCGUGAUUCGAACUCAUGACUUUUAUUGGAGAGGUCAAAAACUUGAACCACUACAUCGACUCACACACCCAAACACGCUAUCCCAAACACACUAUUGUUAUAUUUACUAUUCCACACUAUUGUUAUAUUUACUAUCCAUUAAUAUUGUCACAUGAGUGUAUUAAUUCAGACUAAAACCAUAACCACAUUUAUUAAAAUAUGGUUUGGAAAUAGUUUUGGUUCAUUUGUCCAAACUAAAUCCAUUUUAUAAGAACUAAAACCACAUUUUGCCCGCAUGACUUAGUUGUUAUCCACCACUUUUGCACAUAGUUAUAUAAAGUCAUUAAUCUCUCGUUAUAUUCUGCACAUAGUUAUAUAAAGUCAUUAACCUCUCAUUAUAUCAAGGAUAGCGGUCCCCAACCCGAAACCCGAUACAAAAUAGUAUAUAUUAUAUAUAUACUUUAGAACCGACAAUUAUAGUUCUACAGCAUAAUUAGUUGAGAAAUUAUGAUUAAUUUUUAAUGAUUAUUUGAAAAAAAUAAUGAAACUUUAUUUUUUAUAUCAAUUAACUAAUCAUUUAAUGGAUAAUGCAAUCGAUACAUUUAUUUUAUGCAUAUAUAAAAGUGUUUGCAUUUAACUCUAUAUAAAAUGUUUUUUCAUGAAAUGUAUCCGUAGGGGUGUUCGCGGUGCGGGCGGUGUGGUUUUUUCCUAAAACCGCAAACCAACCCGCGCAUGCGGUUUGGGAAAAUUCAUAAACCGCAACCGCACCGCGUAAUAUAAAAACCGCGUAAACCAUACCACAAAUUGCGGUGCGGUGUGGUGCGGUUCAUGCGGUUUGCGUGGUUUAUACAUUCAAAAAAUUUAUACUUUUGAAUGACAAUAUAAAUAUAAUUUUAAACUAUAUAUAUUUAAAAAUAAUUUUAAUAAUACACACACAUAAAUUUAGAGUUAAAUACUCAUCACAAGAAAUAUAAACUAAAAUAUGAGUAUGAUAAUGACGAAGAUGAAAAGAUUUCAACACUAAUAAGUUAUUUUGUAGAAAAUAAAUAUAAUUAUAAUAUUUAAUAUGUCGUCUUAAAACUAACCUUAAUUUGUAUUGUAAAAUUAUUAAAAUUAAGUUGAGUAACUUGAACAUAUAUACACACACAUAAGAGAUAACAUCAUAAUAAAUAAUCUAUAUAUAUAUAAUAUAAAUAUUUGUAAUUAUAUGUGAUAUAUUUUUAUAUAUUUGAAAAUAGCGGUGCGGUGCGGUUUGAACCGCGCUUGUAUAAUGUCAAACCGCGACCCGCACCGCGCGGUUUGUUAAAAUUUCAACCCGCAACCGCACCACGAAAAAGAAAAAUCGCAUUUUGCGGUGUGGUGCGGUGCGAAGCCGGCGGUUUAUGCGGUGUGGGUUGUUUGAUAAAACCCCUAUGUACUCGUAUAUUACGAAGUUAGGGUCGCGCUCAAGAGUAAAACAGUUUUUAAAAUAGAACUAGAGAACCACUAAGGUUCUAUUGCAGAACCCUAAAUUUUAAAUAGAUUUUUAGGAUCUAAAUCUUAACACAUGUUUUUUUUUUCAUGUUUUUUUCAUCGUUGUCUAUGUUCAAAAAUAAUUUUAAAAUAUAAUACAUAGAUAUUGACAUUUUUUGCACGUGAAUUCUGCUGCAGAACCCUAACUACUCCUAGAAAUAAGAUAAGGGUUUUAUGUGUUCUCUCAGUAAUGAUUCUCUCUUAAAUAUGACCCACUGCAAAGUUAUACUUCCAAAAUAAACUAGCAUAAAAGCCCGUGCGAGGCACGGGGCUCUAGUUUUUGCUGUAUUUUAAAUAAUAUUAAUAUGUCAUUAUAUUGUUCUUGUACGGACCUUGAGUUUGUAUUAUGUUUUAAAUAAUAUCCGUGUGUCAUCAUAUUGUUUCGAGCGUAACUAUUACGUUUUACUUUUUGACAAAAUAUGUAAACAUGAAAAAUGUAAUAUAUGCAAGCUAAUAGCAUUAAUAGUAAUGAUAAGUACUAUUCCCUCCAUUCCAUUUUAUAUGACCCUUAUUCUUUUUUGAGACAUCUCUAAAAUAAUUAGCUUACUAUACUUACUAUUUUUAAACACUACUUAUCACUAUUACACACACUACUUCUCUAUUUUAUACUCUUUUAUAUUAAACUAGCUUAUAACCCGUGCAAUGCACGGGCGGUUAACAUAUUUGUUAUUUUAUUUUAUAUAUCUUAAAUUUAUCUAAUUUUAUUGUAAAAAUAAAAUUAUGAUAGAAUAAUGUGGUUAAAUAAAUAUUUUAUUUAGCAGUUGGAUAAAUUCUUCAUAGUUAAGUUCGUCAAAUGGCUAAUUAAAUAUUAGGUCGAACAUAUAUAUUUUAAUGAGAAUGUUAAAAUAUUUUUUUUUGCAUGUUAUAAUUUAAGAAGGCCUAUAAACUCAUAUAUAAACUAAUCAAUCAACCUUUUUAAUAUUUCGUUAUUAAUAAUUCAUAAUAUGGUAUAAAACAUAUUAUAGUUUAAAGAGACGCAUGAAACCAAAUACCGACCGUCCGACCCAUCAUACUAAUUUGAAUUUAAUGUUUUGGUUUAAUAAAUGAUAAAAAAAAAUAUAGUAUAACAUGUUAUAAAUUCAAGAGCUCAUACCAACCCAUUCACCAACUUUACUAACUGACCGACCAAGUGAACUUUUUAUUUCGGCUUUAUUAAUAUUGUAAUAAUAUAUAGUAUAUGAUAGAUUUGUAAUAUUUCCUUUAAUGUGAGAUCAUUAGAGUAUUUAAAAAUAAUGUUAUUAAUGUAUUUUUGGUUUAAUAAUAUCACAUGUUAUUUAUUAAUAAUUAUAUUUUUAGGGAAUUGAUAAAUAAGCUCCACAGUUUACUAUUUAAGCUCCAAAUCCAAAUUUUAUACCAUAUUUACCCAUGCCUUGUCCACAUAUAUAUGACGUCCGUGUUAAUUGUAAAAACUCGAUUUUUUAGUUAGAAAAUCUAAAAAUGAUAACCCGUUUUGAUUAAAAAGACAAUUACUAUGUUGCUCGAUAUUAUUUUAGAAGAUUGAGUUCUUUUAGCUAAUAAAUAUAUAAAGAUAAUUUAUUUUAGUUAAAAAGAAUAAUUGGUUUUAUAUAUAGAUAGGCCUGUACUUCGGUGCAAGUACCGACCGCCCGACCAAUAUAAUAAUACUCUCUCUAUUUUUUAUUAUUUGACGUUUAGACUUUUGGCUCACAUCUUUACGUAUAAAUAUGUCGCCCAUGUUCGUAUUAAUUGUAAAAGAUUAAUUUUUUAGUUAGAAAAUUUCUUAGAAAAGUUAUGAAAAGAUAAUAUAUUUUAGUUAAAAAAAGUAAUUACCAUGUUUCUUAAUGUUAUUUUAGAAGAUUAAGUUUUUUAGUCAGAAAUAUAAAAAAGGUAAUAUAUUUCAAUUAAAAGGAUUAAUUGGUUAUAUAGAUAGGCCCGUAAUUUGGCCCAAAUUAAAAAGAAUAAUUAGUUAUAUAGAUAUGCCCGUAUUUUGACCCAAGUACCGACGAUUUUAAAAGAAUUAUUUUUUUUGGUCAUAUAAAAGAAUUAUUAAUUGGUUAUAUAGAUAGGCCCGUAAUUUGGCCCAAAUUAAAAAGAAUAAUUAAUUAUAUAGAUAGGCCCGUAUUUUGGCCCAAGUACCGACCGACCAAACUUUUAAUCUUUCGGCUUUAAUAGUACUAGCCUAUAACCCGUGCCAAGCACGGGCGACCAUAUAAUUUUAAUUUGAUUAUUUAUAAAUUUAAUAUCAUUUUAUUAGUGUUUUUCAUUAAUUAAAUUAAGAUGGUAUUAAAUUAUAUUAAUCGAUUGUUUAUAUGCACUUUUGAAGGUUUGUCUUGUACAAAACUUUUUAUAUUAUAAAAUAUUAGUAUAAACAAUUAAUUUUUUUCCAUAUGUCAAUGUUUAAAUAAUUUUUUUCAAUCUCACUUUAAAUUUGAAUUAAAAAAUUCAAAAGAAAAUGUGAUAUACAUUUUUAUUGUUAUAUUUUAAUUUUAACCAUACUAUUCAUUUUGUUACGCUUUAUUUACAUCUCGAUCAAAUAUACUUUUGAAAAAUAAUAGAAACAUAAGAAAUGUCUACUUUUGUUUCUCCUUUUUUUUUUUUCAUUUUUUGUGAGAGGUUCCUCUGAAUUGUAUUUGAACUUAAAAUUUUUGAUUUCUUCAAUAUAUUAUAAAAGAAAAUCUUACAUUAUUUUCGUCAACUUUUAUCGAUUUAUUAAUUAUUAAUCAUGAACCUCAUACCGAAUAAAUAUUAAUUUGCCACAUUUUUCAUCAUUUCUAGGUAUACCGUCGUUUAUUAUUCAACUUCAUGUUAAAUUUAAAUUAAAAAUUUUAAAAAUGUGAUAUAAUAUACAUUUAUACCUAGAAUAUGAAUUAAAUUUUUUUUAAAAGUGAUGGGUACAUGGUCUUUUUUCAUUUAACUUUACUUGAAAUUUGAAUGAACAGAUUCAAAAUAUUGAUACACAUUUUUAUUACUUUAUUUUAAAUUUUAGACUUACUAUCCUUUUUAUUAAUUUUAUUUACAUCUCAAUCAAAAAUGUUUUUGAAAACUGAGGUCCACUCUCACGAGAAACAUAACAAAUAUUCACUUGUUCUCCAUUUUUACACUUUUCUGUGAGAUGUCCACAGAGUACUGGCUAAAUUCCUAGUUAAUGAAUCAGACUUUUUUGCCAAUGCAUUAGUCAAAAGCAAGAAAUCAGUACUCCAUAUUUUGAGAUCUUGGUAACAUCCAUGACUGAAAUAUGUACUACACCAUGGCAAGAAAUAUCACAUUAAAUUUCUACAAAUUAAACAGCAGUAGCAAAAGACAUUAAAUAGCCGGACAUCAUAUAUGCACAUCCACAUAUCACAAUAAUAGUCAUAGCCUAGAGAAAGAAUGAGUUCCUAAUUUCCUAUGGCUAUCCUUUUCAUCUGUCUGUUAACAGAAUAAGAUAAACCUCCACAAAAUCGACAAAUUCCCUCCGGCUACAAUAAUGCAUGCCAGCAUCCAUUGAUGUACACGUAGCAAGAGAAGAGUUUGAUCUGUUGAACUGAUAAAGCAAUUGCAGGAGAUCGAUCUAUGCCAAAAGGCUGUUGUUUUGGUCCAUUUGAAAACAGCAUGUGUUAAGCAACACAACCUCCGCAUACCAUACUCUGGACAAUUGAUCAACCAGAGCUUCUACGUCUGGUCUACCUUGCAAUUUCCUUCAUCCUUGGAGGUUGAAGUACAACCUUGAUAGCAGUAUCAAAAACAGCUUUGACAUUCUGCUGAGUUUUGAGAUCAGCAGGAAAGCAUCCAGAAUUCCUGUGUCUCUACAUCUACACAUGAAUAUAAACACAAAUCACUAAAAUCACACACACUUUAAUAUGUAUGGGCAUCAGAUAUGUACAAUCCAUUCAAAAAAAAAUAGUUUGCAUAUAAUAUAGUUAUAGACAAUGAGGGGGAAGAUCUUAGUGCCUUUGUGAUCACAUUGUUUUAUAUUGUUAGAUUUUCUUGUACCUGAAAUGUAGUUUGAGCAACACCAGCAAAGAAUGUCGCAGUAAGUGCAAGGCGUUGAAAUUCAAGUUUGUUUGUUUCAGGAUCAAGUUCAUUUUGUAGCAAUGUGCCCAUCAAAAGAGAGAGCACUGCCACUUAUCAUAUGGCAAUGUCUCUUGAACUACCCAUGAAGGCGUAUAUGAGAAGUGGAAUGCAGCUACUAUCUGUGAUUUCGUGUAACCACAUAUAUUAGUAUUAUAAAAGCUUUUUAAAAUAAGCCAAGUGAUGUUAUUUAGAUAAAAAACAUACAUAACCCCAAUUGAGGAUCCAGAUGUGCAAGUUUUGAGGAGAGGAUAUCAUGUAUAGACAAAUUUCCAAAAUUGUUUAGAGAGUCUAACCAUGGACAAAUUCAAAAUCAACAUGCAUGGUUAAUCCUUUGGUUCAUGAGGUAUUGAAUGCAAACUUGAGUUCUAUGUAUUCUCUGCUCCCAUAUCUUUACUAAAUUACUCACUGGAACAGAACUUCAAAAAGAAAUUAAUAGAUAACCUCUGCACAAAAUAUAACAACACAAAAUAUAUUUUCAAGUGCCAAUCUAAACCAGCAUACAAAAAUAUUCAUAGUGAUUUCUUAUUAAUUAGCAAAGUUCAUAACUGCUCAAAAAGUGCACAUAUUGGCAAAAAGCUAAAUCAUAAUUAGCGAGUAUCAGGCAAGAAGAAGAAAGAAUACAUAAGUUAAACUACCCAAACUCGAAUGUAGAUCCUGGAUAUGAAAGGAAAGAAUACAGAAGCUCUUAUUUGAACCCCCUUACUGCAUCAAUAGCUAUCCGUAAAUGAUGCAUCCAGUCAAGAACAGGGCCUCGUUGUGCUCCUUGAACUCCCUUCCUAACUUUAAAAUUUUAAUAUUGUUGUUAUAUUAUCUGUUUUAUAUUUAUAGACAGGGUAAAUUGGAGGAAGAAUAGAAUGACACACAUAAUACUUGGCCUAAGACUCCACUAAUUUAAAUUAGUGACUCGGAUUCAUUCACCAAAAUUUGAACAACCUUUCCCAGUAGGCCUUUACAUAUAAUCUGAAUAUAAAAAUGCAAGUUCACAACUACACUCCUAUUCACUUGUACCCUUUGAUCUCUUGCCAUCAAUAAUUUCCAAUACCAUCCUUCUGAAAUUUAGAAUUUCACUUUUUUUUAUUCUUUUAUUUGCAAAAAGAACUCAGGAAAUUUGGAAGCAACAAGUCGUCAAUGUUCAUUGCUUGUAAGAUAAGCAAGAUAAUGGGAGAUCAUGCCAUUAUGCAAAUAAUUGUUAAUAGUUUCCUGCAAAAUAUCUUAAUUAUCUCAUUUUCCUCCUACCAUCGUAUCUCUCUUACUUGAUAUCAUUAUCUAAUGAUGUAUGUGUGGUAAAGUAUAAAUGUACUUAAGUAGAUAUUGACACUGAUAUACUCUUACAUUAGCAGAAAAAAAAUAGAUAUCUAAAGAAUUGAAAGUGCCUUGUCUACUAUAUAUUUUUGAGGGCGAGAUGCACCUCUCUUAUGCAGUCCGGACGACAUAGUCGUGCAUUCUGAUAUCUAAUAAACCUUGUUAAAAUUUGAGCUUUCUGAGAGACGGGGCACCGGCAUCUACUUGACCUCAGUAUCUGUAAAAUAAUAUAGCAGCACCAAACAACAAUAAGAGCUAUAACAGCUCCAACAUCUUUAAUUAUAUAAUAAAUGAUCUCUGGAGAUAAGUUUUUAUAUUGUGUAAAGUUAAAAUCUCUUAAACUCUGAUUGGUCAAAUUUGACAGCGGAGGUCGAUCAUUACAAACCGAGUACUAAACAAAUGUAGAAAUAAGAAACAUAAAAACAGAAGCUCAUCCUGACAACCUCCUUCAUCGCCUUCCUAAUGUUUGAUUCAGUGUGCAAAGAUUUGUGUUGUAUGUAAUUUGGGGUUUUGAAUUCAAAUUGAACAAUUAUUCAAACUAACAUGUAAGAAAUGAAUCGAGGAGGAAAAUAUUCACCUCCUGGAGAUUUUGCAGACAUGAGCUUCUUGUCUCUUUGCCGAAACUAUCUAAACCACUGCGAUGGAAAGCUACGCGAAGUAGAAAGAGAUUAGACAACAUCACAUGAUAUCAAAUGGCUCCAAAACACAGCUUACUUGAAAGCUGGAAAUAGCAAGUGCAGUGAAGUAGCUCAAUUAAGUGGAAAAUUAAGUGGAUUGAAUAAUAAUAUAUGUUAUAUAGGAGGGAAUGAUGGAUUAAGCUCUAGAGACCACCUUAAAAAGCAAAACAAUGAAAAACACAUACAAUACACAAAAUGAGGGUACAUAAAUGAGUGACACUAAUUUAUAAAUGCUUGCAUGCUCACUGAUAAUAUCAAACUCCUAUGAGGGUAACACUUUUAUCAAACAGGCCUUAAGAGAACUCACCAGGGGUGGGACUCCCCUCUUCUGUUGGUUUGAUAUUUUCUUUAUCUUGUUCCACAUUUGUCCUUCUUCUUUUUGAUUUAGAACCUAAGUCUCCCAACAAAAUUGAAAAAGGUCGGAAUAAGAUUGAGUCAGAUUUAAUUACGAAACAGAAAACACAGGCCAUGAAUUCACCAGAACAAUCCCCCCUCAACGUAGGGAAACUAUCCAGUUUGAGAUGAUUGAAAACCCCCUAAAAUCCAUCCAAGAAACAUAUAAACAAAAGAAAUAUCAGAACCAAAAUCAGCAUUACAAACCGAGUGGUAAACAAAUGCAUAAAUAAGAAACAUAAAAAUAGCAAGUCGUCGAGAGAACCUCCUUCAUCGCCUGUAAAAUGUUUGUUUCACUGUGAAGAGAUUCGUGUUGUAUGUAAUAUGUGGUUUUGAAUUCAAAUUGAACAAAAAUUCAAACUGACCUAUAAGAAAUGGAUUGAAGAGGAAAAGAUUCAGCUCCUGGGGAUUUUGGAGCCAUGAGCUUGUUGUCUCUUUGCCGAAACUGUCUAAACCACUGCGGUGGAAAGUGAUGCGAAGUAGGAAGAAAUCAGACAGCAUCACGUGAUAUCAAAUGGCUCCAAAACACAGCUCAAUUGAAAAAGCGGAAAUAGCAAGCGUAGUGCAGUUGCACCAUACACAAGUUGCAAGCUUUUAAUAUUUUUCCCGGAAUACAAUGAAGCCCCUUUAAACAGUUGACCAUCCCCAAGGGUAACUGUGGUUGGAAAGCUCCUGUCAAGGGAGCUUGCACCCACAGUCAUGAUCCAUGGUGCGACGUUGCCAACAGUGGAGCUAUAGGGGUCUGAAUUCCCAGCUGAGCAUGACACAAAGACCCCCUUUUGAAAUGCGCCAAGUGCUGCAAUGGCUAUGCUAUCUCCAUAAUAAGGCUUUGGGAUGCCACCUAAUGAGAGUGACAAUAUAUUGACCCCAUCACUGACAGCUGUAUCCAUGGCAGCUAGAAUAUCUGAGCUUGAACAACCGAAAGCAUAACAAACUUUAUAUGCUGCAAUUCGUGCUGUGAACAUCAUUCCAGUAGCUGCGCCUUUAGCAUUGCCAAAAAAGCUUGCACCUGGUACAAGAUUACCAGCUGCAGUUGAUGCAGUGUGUGUACCAUGGCCUUCUGCAUCACGGGGAGAUCUGUAAUCCUCUGUUUCAUUAAUUAUUCUUCUAACAGAUUCAUAACCUUUGAAGAAAGCUCUUGCUCCAAUUAGCUUUCUGUUACAAUCUGAAAUUGUAAAAUUGGUGCCCUCUUCGCAUUUGCCUUUCCAAUUGGAGGGCACUGGAGGCAUGCCAGUGUCGAAGAAACUAAUGUGUUCUGGCCAUAUUCCAGUGUCCAGAAUACCGAUUAUGACAUCAGAAGCCAAAUUCUUGGGAUGCCAGAGUCCCCUGUCAGGAUUUAGGCCGAGGAAACCUGGUGAAUGAGUGGUGUGGAGGCUCAGCAUUUCAUCAGGAAUGGCAUAGAGAAAACCGUUGAUUUUGUCUAAUGAUCUUAGGUUUGAUUUAGUGAGUGUUACAGAAAAACCAAACAUGGUUGUUUCAUAAACAUAUAGAACAUUGGGUGGAUAUGCUUCUUCUUCUUCUUCAUUUUCUUGAAUUGACAAUUCAUAAACAGAGUCCAUGACAUAUUCAUGCCAUUUUUUCACUGUCUCAAGACUUUUGAUCUUCGACUUGUCCAUGUGAACUAUGUAAGUACCUCUAUCUGUCGAAGCAGAUGAAGUUACUGAAACCAUCAAGGCUAGUAACAGCAAGGCUGUCCUCAAGCUCAUGGUUGCUGAUGUAUACUGCCAAAAACACAAAUAUAUUGUCAGAAACAUACAACAAGUUAAUACUAAAGCUUAAAUUUAAAUAAAAUGCAGCAUUUUCUAUUUUAUUUUCAUCUCUGAGUAAAAUUUUCUGAUAACAUGUAAGAGAUAGUGGAGUUUGAGGAGAGUGCAGAGAGCAAUAAUAAUGAUAACGUCGAGAGAACACGUACAUGCACACCUGACCUUGGCAUGAAAGCAAGGAGAUGAUCACAAGCCCGAGUGAAUGAGUAGUGUUUGAAGGAAGAUAUAAAUAGUAAAACAGGAGAUAUAAAGUGGACAACAAGAGCAAUGUAUUAUUAUGUUGGACCAGGCAUGUAAUCUUCUAAUCUCCCACUUCUUGUUGAAGCAAUAAAGAAGAACCAGGUCGACUAAUCUGAAAGGGUGAAAGAAAUUAACUAACUUAUUACAUUUGUGUGUAUGAACACCUCUUUUUCCUGUAAUAAUAAUUUCAUAUUAGCUUUUUUAGAAUUCGGAGUUCUAUUUUUGUGCACAUUGAGCAAGGACAUGUUAUAUAUCCCAAAAAUUCUUUCUAAUGGCUCUCUUACACCGGCGCUUGUGAAGGGAAAUAUUGUAGUUUGUCAAAGAGGAGGAAAUAGCCGAGCCAAGAAAGCGGAACAAGUAAUGUUUGCAGGGGGUGCUGAUAAUUUUUUUGGAUGGCAUUUUUUAUAAUUAGGUAUGAAGAAUUGGGGCAGGGGAUGUAAAAAUCCAUUGAAUUUGGAAUCAGGAUUUAUGAAUUAAGGGAUUAUUAAGCCAUAGGUUUAAUGCUAUUUUCAGGCUAUUAUUAUUAUUAUUAUUAUUAGUACUUGAAAAACAUGAGUUCUAGGAUCACAUACCCUCUUUCGCCAUUCAGUUUUGAUGUGUUCUCAGUUGUGCACAUAGUUAGCAUAUUGUAACAUCCAUAGGAAUCCCCUAGAAAAUAAAACAGAUACAAAUUAAACUGAGAAAAGUCCAGCUCCAUAAAAGAUAUUAAAAAUAAAUGAUCAUGCAGAGGUAAUGUGACAUGAACUUCUAGCCGACUGAACACAAUAGGUAAUUCAAACCAAAAUUAUCAGAACCUAUUGCAAGUUUUCUUAUUUUACUUCUGGAAUAUCUGGAUUGCAUUUCUUAAUCAUCUAAUGGAGGUGUUUGAUAAUUAAUUCAUGUUUUUCCGCAAGCUGUACAAACCCUAUACUAUGGUACAGACUUACCACUGUUCUCAAUGUUUUGCUCUACCGUAUCCUGUUUCCUGGAAGCCUGCUGCCCGAAGAACUUUCAGAACUUUGUCACAUAAAAUUUUUAUAAAAGGAAACAGGAUUAUAGUCUAAAACAUAUGAACAUGUAUACCUGUAAAUGGCUCUUUAAAUGGUACAAUGUUAAUCCCUUUAAGCCCAUGAGUCUCAGCAUUGACUUGGGAGUUGCUUCUGCAUUACGGAGAUACAAUAAUUAAUCCACAGAUUCAAAAGCCACUAGAAGUGGAGUGGCUAUUUUAAUUUGAGGGAAACACUGAUGAAUCACAAAAUCAAUGAAAUUUCUUGUUCUCAGUCAUGUUAUUCUUAAAAAUUAGCAGAGUUCUUCGCAUAAAUGACAAAACCCAACUGAUUUCAAAUAAUCAGUAAAAAGAUUAUUAUUUUAGAUUUCAGUACGUGUCAUUUCAAUUUCAGCUUCCGCCUCGAUAAACUUACAAAAGUAAUAUAGAAAAUGAAUGAAACAGAGGAAUAGACUCACUGUCAGGGCCACCAAGCUUAGUGACAGCAUGAACAAACCGAUCAUGAAGAUCACUAGUCCACCUCAGCCUUGGCUUGGGAUCUCUUGUCAUCGCAACUCCACUUUCAUAUUCAUACAAACCGCCUUCACCACCACCACCAACGCCAAAAAAAUCUCAGGAACCACAAAUUAACUCUAAACAACUCCAAAAAUAUGUCUUAAAUAUAGAAACAAAGUUACUCCAGCAAUAACUUCAUUUGCAUUCAGAUCAGCAAGACCAUAUACAAAAAAAGAGCAUGAAAUCCAUAACAACUUAAAUCACAAAACAACUCGCAAAUACAUUUGCGGGAAGCGUGAAUCCUAGCGGAAGAGCAAAACAAUGGUGCAAACAGUACUUUUCCUACAUUGUUAACGGCCUAUCAAAAGCCCAAUGAAUCCUGUUCUGCAAAUAAACUACACCCUAAAAAUCAAAACAAACACCUGUGAGAACUGAUAACUCCCAACAAAAACCAGAAAAAAAGAACACUGGCCGCGUAUACGUAUAGCUAAUUAACAUCGAAAGCAGUAAAAAGUAGGAAAAAAAAAUGAGAAUAUGAAGUAAAAUCUUAUUUUCUUCGGCUCAUCUGCUCUAUCAGUGCCAUCAAUUUUGAGUACAGUUGAAGCCUCCCUAAACAUAUAAUCAAGAAAAUGAAAAUUAGACAUAAAAUUAGGCAAAGCUGUGUUGAAAGCGUUUGUGUUUGAGUGUGUGUGUGUGAGAGAGAGACUGAUGAAAGCAAUAAAAGGCGCCAUUGACUAAAUCGUUGACUCGAUUGAAAAUCUCGUUGAGAAAGAGUUGGGGAUUGAGGCUGAAAGAAUCAAAAAGUUGGGGAGAAUAUGGAGUAUAGUACAGAGGUCGCCGAGAUGGAGAGAGACAGAGGGAGAUGAUGACAGUGGCUUGUGUAGGUAUUUGUUUUUGGUUGUUAAACUAACCUCUGCUAGGACUUUUUUUUUUGACGAAACCUCUGCUAGGACUUAAGGAGAUAGAGUUGUAACAGGACAAUAUUAUUAAGUUUUAGUAUAGCAAGAGACGAUUCACGAGAGACUAUAAAAAUACGACGAAACCAAAAAAUAGGAACAAAACAUGGGACUACAAAUUAUGCUUAUGUUGGCUUAUUAUAGUAUAGUAUAGAUAGUAUAGAUAAACACUAUUACACUCACUACUUACCAUCACUAUCUCAAAUCUAUUAUUAAAUUUUGAUAUAUUCCACCACUUUACCCACUUUCCAACUAAAUUUCCUCUUUUUUACUACUUUUUUCUUAAUCUCCGUGAAAGUCAAAUAAGGUCACCUAAAAUAGGACGAAGGGAGUAUAUUUUUAAAAAAAAUUAUAGAUCAAAAACUACAUUUGAACUGAUAUUUCUAUAUUCAAAUUCGUUAGGAUAUAGAGACCAUCAUCAUAUUAUCAAUGUUCAAAAUUAUAUUCGAAAUUAAUACUGAAAUUUUAAAUUUUAAAUAUAUUAUACCUCAUUAAAAGAAUCUGUAAUUUAUUGUUGAAAUUAUUAAAUUAUUUCAACUAAUAUACCAUGAUUUUGAUAAAAACCUGUUUUUGAUAUGUGAAUUACGAUAUCCUAAAUCAUGAUUAAAUGAAGAUGUGUGGUCCGCGUUGCCCUACAUUUAUUUCUUCUUUUUUGAGCGUACGUUUGCAUAAUUAUUAAAGUGAUACAUGAUGGAGCAGAUCAUCAACACAUUCUUUUUAGCAUAUGUUGCACACAUUUUGUAUAAAUAAAAAUUGAAACAUGUGUUGUACGUAAAAAGACACGUACCUUAUUUUAUUAUAAAAGUAUCAAUUGAACUACUAACCAUAUAAUUGCACCCCAAAAAUUUCUGACACCUUUGAUGUGUCUUAUCCUUUUAUUUUUCAUAUCAAUUACUCCCUCCGUCCCAUUUUAUGUGACCCUUAUUCCUUUUUGGGACGUCCCAAAAAGAAUGAACCUACAAUACUUACUAUUUUUGAACACUACUUUUCACUAUUACACCCACUACUUUCUUCCACUAUCUUUUUUCUAUAAUAAUAUAAACACUAUUACACCCACUAUCUUCCUCCACUAUCUCAAAUCUAUUAUUAAAUAUUGGUAGGUCCCACCACUUUACCCACUUUUCAACUAAACUUACUACAUUUUUCUUAAUCUCCGUUAAAGUCAAACCAGCUCACUCUUUUUGGGACGGAGGGAGUAUAUAGUACUUCAAUGUAUUAUAUUUUUAUUGUUAAUUUAAAAAUAUUUGAUGAAUAUUACUUUGAUACAGUAUGUUAUAACAUUAUCUCGGUUUGUAUUGGAGAGAUCCGAGUUCGAGCCUCAUGAAUAACAUUUUUUUUUUAUAUAUAUGAGAAAAUGUUAGGUUCGGAGUUAGGCUCAGGUUCGGAGCUAGGUAAUUUAUUUGCUCAGGAGGGAGGCCUGACACGAACCUGUUGGGCUACUAUAUAUACUAGCAUAAAAGCCCGUGCGAGGCACGGGGCUCUAGUUUUUGCUGUAUUUUAAAUAAUAUUCAUAUGUCAUUAUAUUGUUCUUGUACGGACCUUGAGUUUGUAUUAUGUUUUAAAUAAUAUCCGUGUGUCAUCAUAUUGUUUCGAGCGUAACUAUUACGUUUUACUUUUUGACAAAAUAUGUAAACAUGAAAAAUGUAAUAUAUGCAAGCUAAUAGCAUUAAUAGUAAUAAUAAGUACUAUUCCCUCCAUUCCAUUUUAUAUGACCCUUAUUCUUUUUUGAGACAUCUCUAAAAUAAUGAACUUACUAUACUUACUAUUUUUAAACACUACUUAUCACUAUUACACACACUACUUCUCUAUUUUAUACUCUUUUAUAUUAAAUAAACACUAUUACACUCACUACUUACCAUCACUAUCUCAAAUCUAUUAUUAAAUUUUGAUAUAUUCCACCACUUUACCCACUUUCCAACUAAAUUUCCUCUUUUUUACUACUUUUUUCUUAAUCUCCGUGAAAGUCAAAUAAGGUCACCUAAAAUAGGACGAAGGGAGUAUAUUUUUAAAAAAAAUUAUAGAUCAAAAACUACAUUUGAACUGAUAUUUCUAUAUUCAAAUUCGUUAGGAUAUAGAGACCAUCAUCAUAUUAUCAAUGUUCAAAAUUAUAUUCGAAAUUAAUACUGAAAUUUUAAAUUUUAAAUAUAUUAUACCUCAUUAAAAGAAUCUGUAAUUUAUUGUUGAAAUUAUUAAAUUAUUUCAACUAAUAUACCAUGAUUUUGAUAAAAACCUGUUUUUGAUAUGUGAAUUACGAUAUCCUAAAUCAUGAUUAAAUGAAGAUGUGUGGUCCGCGUUGCCCUACAUUUAUUUCUUCUUUUUUGAGCGUACGUUUGCAUAAUUAUUAAAGUGAUACAUGAUGGAGCAGAUCAUCAACACAUUCUUUUUAGCAUAUGUUGCACACAUUUUGUAUAAAUAAAAAUUGAAACAUGUGUUGUACGUAAAAAGACACGUACCUUAUUUUAUUAUAAAAGUAUCAAUUGAACUACUAACCAUAUAAUUGCACCCCAAAAAUUUCUGACACCUUUGAUGUGUCUUAUCCUUUUAUUUUUCAUAUCAAUUAUAUAGUACUUCAAUGUAUUAUAUUUUUAUUGUUAAUUUAAAAAUAUUUGAUGAAUAUUACUUUGAUACAGUAUGUUAUAACAUUAUCUCGUUAUAAAAUUUUAAUUUUCUAUAAUUAGUUUUUUGAGCUUGUCUAUUAAGACUUUUAAUGAUUUUUCAUGUAAUCGUUAUAAAACAGAUCUCAAACAAAUGAUUUUAUGGAAUUUCAAAUAGCAAAAAGAGAGUAGAUAUGAGUUAGGCAUCAUGAAGUUCAUAAAACCAUAAAAUAUUUAGUUCAAUUAGUCGUGUAGUUACUUUUUUAGCUUUGUGCAAACUCACAUUUUUAAUAUUUUGAUACUCGUAUUUAUUAGGAGUGAUCAAUGUGGCAUAUCAUGUUCAAUUGUUAAAGAUCAAGUUAUAUAUUCGAUAUUUUGAAUCAUGAAAAAACUAUUCUUGUUCUAGUCCCGUUUAAUCAGAUAUUAGUUUCACCGUAUCGCGUCAGAUUAUCCGGUUCAGAAUUAAUUAUAUUUUAUUAGUUUAAUUUGUA